rnacentral:siRNA from 1 species
ACAUAAACCCGUGAUUUUCCCGCCA